rnacentral:rRNA from 1 species
GUUGGGUAGGGGAGCGUUCUGUAAGCCUGUGAAGGUGGCCUGUGAGGGUUGCUGGAGGUAUCAGAAGUGCGAAUGCUGACAUAAGUAACGAUAAAGCGGGUGAAAAGCCCGCUCGCCGGAAGACCAAGGGUUCCUGUCCAACGUUAAUCGGGGCAGGGUGAGUCGACCCCUAAGGCGAGGCCGAAAGGCGUAGUCGAUGGGAAACGGGUUAAUAUUCCCGUACUUGGUGUUACUGCGAAGGGGGGACGGAGAAGGCUAUGUUGGCCGGGCGACGGUUGUCCCGGUUUAAGCGUGUAGGCUGGUUUUCCAGGCAAAUCCGGAAAAUCAAGGCUGAGGCGUGAUGACGAGGCACUACGGUGCUGAAGCAACAAAUGCCCUGCUUCCAGGAAAAGCCUCUAAGCAUCAGGUAACAUCAAAUCGUACCCCAAACCGACACAGGUGGUCAGGUAGAGAAUACCAAGGCGCUUGAGAGAACUCGGGUGAAGGAACUAGGCAAAAUGGUGCCGUAACUUCGGGAGAAGGCACGCUGACACGUAGGUGAAGUGAUUUACUCAUGGAGCUGAAGUCAGUCGAAGAUACCAGCUGGCUGCAACUGUUUAUUAAAAACACAGCACUGUGCAAACACGAAAGUGGACGUAUACGGUGUGACGCCUGCCCGGUGCCGGAAGGUUAAUUGAUGGGGUCAGCGCAAGCGAAGCUCCUGAUCGAAGCCCCGGUAAACGGCGGCCGUAACUAUAACGGUCCUAAGGUAGCGAAAUUCCUUGUCGGGUAAGUUCCGACCUGCACGAAUGGCGUAAUGAUGGCCAGGCUGUCUCCACCCGAGACUCAGUGAAAUUGAACUCGCUGUGAAGAUGCAGUGUACCCGCGGCAAGACGGAAAGACCCCGUGAACCUUUACUAUAGCUUGACACUGAACAUUGAGCCUUGAUGUGUAGGAUAGGUGGGAGGCUUUGAAGUGUGGACGCCAGUCUGCAUGGAGCCGACCUUGAAAUACCACCCUUUAAUGUUUGAUGUUCUAACGUGGACCCGUAAUCCGGGUUGCGGACAGUGUCUGGUGGGUAGUUUGACUGGGGCGGUCUCCUCCUAAAGAGUAACGGAGGAGCACGAAGGUUGGCUAAUCCUGGUCGGACAUCAGGAGGUUAGUGCAAUGGCAUAAGCCAGCUUGACUGCGAGCGUGACGGCGCGAGCAGGUGCGAAAGCAGGUCAUAGUGAUCCGGUGGUUCUGAAUGGAAGGGCCAUCGCUCAACGGAUAAAAGGUACUCCGGGGAUAACAGGCUGAUACCGCCCAAGAGUUCAUAUCGACGGCGGUGUUUGGCACCUCGAUGUCGGCUCAUCACAUCCUGGGGCUGAAGUAGGUCCCAAGGGUAUGGCUGUUCGCCAUUUAAAGUGGUACGCGAGCUGGGUUUAGAACGUCGUGAGACAGUUCGGUCCCUAUCUGCCGUGGGCGCUGGAGAACUGAGGGGGGCUGCUCCUAGUACGAGAGGACCGGAGUGGACGCAUCACUGGUGUUCGGGUUGUCAUGCCAAUGGCACUGCCCGGUAGCUAAAUGCGGAAGAGAUAAGUGCUGAAAGCAUCUAAGCACGAAACUUGCCCCGAGAUGAGUUCUCCCUGAGACUUAGAGUCUCCUGAAGGAACGUUGAAGACGACGACGUUGAUAGGCCGGGUGUGUAAGCGCAGCGAUGCGUUGAGCUAACCGGUACUAAUGAACCGUGAGGCUUAACCUUACAACGCCGAAG